GAUGAACGCUAGCUACAGGCUUAACACAUGCAAGUCGAGGGGAAACGGCAUUAAGUGCUUGCACUUUUUGGACGUCGACCGGCGCACGGGUGAGUAACGCGUAUCCAACCUUCCCAUGACUAAGGGAUAACCUGCCGAAAGGCAGACUAAUACCUUAUGGUCUUCACUGACGGCAUCAGAUGUGAAGUAAAGAUUUAUCGGUUAUGGAUGGGGAUGCGUCUGAUUAGUUAGUUGGCGGGGUAACGGCCCACCAAGGCAACGAUCAGUAGGGGUUCUGAGAGGAAGGUCCCCCACAUUGGAACUGAGACACGGUCCAAACUCCUACGGGAGGCAGCAGUGAGGAAUAUUGGUCAAUGGGCGAGAGCCUGAACCAGCCAAGUAGCGUGCAGGAUGACGGCCCUAUGGGUUGUAAACUGCUUUUGUAUGGGGAUAAAGUCAAUCACGUGUGAUUGUUUGCAGGUACCAUACGAAUAAGGACCGGCUAAUUCCGUGCCAGCAGCCGCGGUAAUACGGAAGGUCCGGGCGUUAUCCGGAUUUAUUGGGUUUAAAGGGAGCGUAGGCUGGAGAUUAAGUGUGUUGUGAAAUGUAGACGCUCAACGUCUGACUUGCAGCGCAUACUGGUUUCCUUGAGUACGCACAACGUUGGCGGAAUUCGUCGUGUAGCGGUGAAAUGCUUAGAUAUGACGAAGAACUCCGAUUGCGAAGGCAGCUGACGGGAGCGCAACUGACGCUGAAGCUCGAAGGUGCGGGUAUCGAACAGG
rnacentral:rRNA from 1 species